rnacentral:rRNA from 1 species
AGUGAACGCUGGCGGUAGGCCUAACACAUGCAAGUCGAACGGCAGCACAGUAAGAGCUUGCUCUUACGGGUGGCGAGUGGCGGACGGGUGAGGAAUACAUCGGAAUCUACUUUUUCGUGGGGGAUAACGUAGGGAAACUUACGCUAAUACCGCAUACGACCUACGGGUGAAAGCAGGGGAUCUUCGGACCUUGCGCGAUUGAAUGAGCCGAUGUCGGAUUAGCUAGUUGGCGGGGUAAAGGCCCACCGAGGCGACGAUCCGUAGCUGGUCUGAGAGGAUGAUCAGCCACACUGGAACUGGGACACGGUCCAGACUCCUACGGGAGGCAGCAGUGGGGAAUAUUGGACAAUGGGCGCAAGCCUGAUCCAGCCAUACCGCGUGGGUGAAGAAGGCCUUCGGGUUGUAAAGCCCUUUUGUUGGGAAAGAAAAGCAGCAGGUUAAUACCCCGCUGUUCUGACGGUACCCAAAGAAUAAGCACCGGCUAACUUCGUG